CACGUAGGGGCCAAGCGUUGUCCGGAUUUAUUGGGCGUAAAGAGCUCGUAGGCGGUUCAGCAAGUCGGGUGUGAAAACUCUGGGCUCAACCCAGAGACGCCACCCGAUACUGCUGUGACUAGAGUCCGGUAGGGGAGUGGGGAAUUCCUGGUGUAGCGGUGAAAUGCACAGAUAUCAGGAGGAACACCGGUGGCGAAGGCGGGUCUCUGGGCUGACACUGACGCUCAUGCACGAAAGCGUGGGGAGCAAACAGG
rnacentral:rRNA from 1 species